AGGAAAUCAAUUUUUUUCCUCUAUUCAAUAAAACGAUAGUUAUAAUAGAUGUUAAUGUUAGAGGUCAUUUGAAUCACUAAAAGAGUCGUGAAUUAUGAAUGUGAAUUUACUAUUAUAUCGUGGAUUAUGAUUUCAAGUACUGAGUAUGCUAUUGUGAGGAUUUCAUAUGCGCGACCUCGAUACUAUGCGACAACAUGGUUGCAGUCAAUCGUGACAGGAUCAAACCAGUUUGAUUUUCAAUCAAUGUUCAGUAACAAGUGCAAAAAAGUAACUAUUUUAAGUGUAAAAUAAAAUGAUAUUUUUUUCAGAGAGAGAGAGAGAGAGAGAGAGAUAGAGAGAGAUUCGAUAGUUUUCAAUGGUUUUUAUUGUCAUGCGUGAAUAAGUAAAAAAUAAUGGGAAAAAAAAACAAAAGAAAAAAAAAUAAUAA